GUGGGGAAUAUUGGACAAUGGGCGAAAGCCUGAUCCAGCCAUGCCGCGUGUGUGAAGAAGGUCUUCGGAUUGUAAAGCACUUUAAGUUGGGAGGAAGGGCAGUAAGUUAAUACCUUGCUGUUUUGACGUUACCGACAGAAUAAGCACCGGCUAACUUCGUGCCAGCAGCCGCGGUAUUACGAAGGGUGCAAGCGUUAAUCGUACUUACUGGGCGUAAAGCGCGCGUAGGUGGUUUUGUAAGUUGGAGGUGAAAUCCGCGGGGUCAACCUGGGAACUGCCACCAAAACUGCAUGACUAUAGUACGGUAGAGGGUAGUGGAAUUUCCUGGGUAGCGGUGAAAUGCGUAGAUAUAGGAAGGAACACCAGUGGCGAAGGCGACUACCUGGACUGAUACUGACACUGAGGUGCGAAAGCGUGGGGAGCAAACAGGAUUAGAUACCCGGGUAGUCC
rnacentral:rRNA from 1 species